rnacentral:rRNA from 1 species
AUUGAACGCUGGCGGCAGGCCUAACACAUGCAAGUCGAACGGUAACAGGAAGAAGCUUGCUUCUUUGCUGACGAGUGGCGGACGGGUGAGUAAUGUCUGGGAAACUGCCUGAUGGAGGGGGAUAACUACUGGAAACGGUAGCUAAUACCGCAUAACGUCGCAAGACCAAAGAGGGGGACCUUCGGGCCUCUUGCCAUCGGAUGUGCCCAGAUGGGAUUAGCUAGUAGGUGGGGUAACGGCUCACCUAGGCGACGAUCCCUAGCUGGUCUGAGAGGAUGACCAGCCACACUGGAACUGAGACACGGUUCAGACUCCUACGGGAGGCAGCAGUGGGGAAUAUUGCACAAUGGGCGCAAGCCUGAUGCAGCCAUGCCGCGUGUAUGAAGAAGGCCUUCGGGUUGUAAAGUACUUUCAGCGGGGAGGAAGGGAGUAAAGUUAAUACCUUUGCUCAUUGACGUUACCCGCAGAAGAAGCACCGGCUAACUCCGUG